rnacentral:rRNA from 1 species
UACGGAGGGUGCGAGCGUUGUUCGGAAUUACUGGGCGUAAAGCGCGUGUAGGCGGCUUCUUAAGUCUGGUGUGAAAGCCCGGGGCUCACCCCCGGAAGUGCACUGGAAACUGGGAAGCUAGAGUACCGGAGAGGAGGGUGGAAUUCCUGGUGUAGCGGUGAAAUGCGUAGAUAUCAGGAGGAACACCGGUGGCGAAGGCGGGUCUCUGGGCCGAUACUGACGCUGAGGAGCGAAAGCGUGGGGAGCGAACAGG